UGCCUCGGCGGGACCUACCCGGUAGCUAGCUACCCUGUAACGCCCCGCCGGUGGAUUUUCAAACUCUUGUUAUUUUUAGUUAUCUGAGCGUCUUAUUUUAAUAAGUCAAAACUUUCAACAACGGAUCUCUUGGUUCUGGCAUCGAUGAAGAACGCAGCGAAAUGCGAUAAGUAAUGUGAAUUGCAGAAUUCAGUGAAUCAUCGAAUCUUUGAACGCACAUUGCGCCCAUUAGUAUUCUAGUGGGCAUGCCUGUUCGAGCGUCAUUUCAACCCCUAAGCAUAGCUUAGUGUUGGGAAUCUACUGAGCGGAGCUACCCUGUAGCUACCCUGUAGUUCCUAAAAACCAACGGCGGAUUUAUAGUGUCCUCUGAGCGUAGUAAAUUUUUAUCUCGCUUUUGUUAGGUGCUGUAACUCUAGCCGCUAAACCCCCUAUUUUUCUAUGGUUGACCUCGGAUCAGGUAGGAAUACCCGCUGAACUUAAGCAUAUCAAUAAGCGGAGGAAAAGAAACCAACAGGGAUUGCCCUAGUAACGGCGAGUGAAGCGGCAACAGCUCAAAUUUGAAAUCUGGCCUUCGGGUCCGAGUUGUAAUUUGUAGAGGAUGCUUUUGGUGCGGUACUUUCCGAGUUCCCUGGAACGGGACGCCUUAGAGGGUGAGAGCCCCGUACGGUUGGAUACCUAGCCUUUGUAAAGCUCCUUCGACGAGUCGAGUAGUUUGGGAAUGCUGCUCUAAAUGGGAGGUAAAUUUCUUCUAAAGCUAAAUACUGGCCAGAGACCGAUAGCGCACAAGUAGAGUGAUCGAAAGAUGAAAAGCACUUUGAAAAGAGGGUUAAAUAGCACGUGAAAUUGUUGAAAGGGAAGCGUUUAUGACCAGACUUUUUCUAGGCAGAUCAUCCGGUGUUCUCACCGGUGCACUUUGCCUAGUUGAGGCCAGCAUCGGUUUCUAUAGAGGGAUAAAAACAGUGGGAAUGUGGCUCCUCCGGGAGUGUUAUAGCCCAU
rnacentral:rRNA from 1 species